rnacentral:rRNA from 1 species
GACGAACGCUGGCGGCGUGCCUAAUACAUGCAAGUUGAGCGCUGAAGGUUGGUACUUGUACCAACUGGAUGAGCAGCGAACGGGUGAGUAACGCGUGAGGAAUCUGCCUUUGAGCGGGGGACAACAUUUGGAAACGAAUGCUAAUACCGCAUAAAAACUUUAAACACAAGUUUUAAGUUUGAAAGAUGCAAUUGCAUCACUCAAAGAUGAUCCCGCGUUGUAUUAGCUAGUUGGUGAGGUAAAGGCUCACCAAGGCGAUGAUACAUAGCCGACCUGAGAGGGUGAUCGGCCACAUUGGGACUGAGACACGGCCCAAACUCCUACGGGAGGCAGCAGUAGGGAAUCUUCGGCAAUGGACGAAAGUCUGACCGAGCAACGCCGCGUGAGUGAAGAAGGUUUUCGGAUCGUAAAACUCUGUUGGUAGAGAAGAACGUUGGUGAGAGUGGAAAGCUCAUCAAGUGACGGUAACUACCCAGAAAGGGACGGCUAACUACGUG